UAAAGGACACCAUCAAAACCCUUAUUCCUCCCUCAAUCGUUACUCUGCCGUCAUCACUCUUUCACCGUUACCUCCACCUCCUUCAAUCACCUCUGAUGGAGACUACUAGGUGACUCUUUCGGAGAUCUCGUACCUUGAGAAUUACGCGCGUGUUUAAGGUUGGUAAAGGUACUUGGCUACGAGUGAGGAGACGCUUAGAAUAACCACCUAGUCAAGAGAAAAUUUCUAUUUCAGUUUAAGUUGAACUUUGCUAUUUAUUUUUAUGAGAAUUGGUUGUAUUAUUUUUAUGGGCCACCUUUUAGACCACUUAGUUAAUUUUGACUUUAAUGGUUUAAAUGUUUUGUUGCUUUGCAUUUAUUUUCUAAGGAGAAUAAAUGUAGCAGUGACACUCCCAAGGUUUGGACGAUGAUUUUAUGAAAUAAAA